GGCUCAGGAUGAACGCUAGCGACAGGCUUAACACAUGCAAGGUCGAGGGGCAACGCGAGUAGCAAUACUUGGCGGCGACCGGCGCAAGGGUGCGUAACGCGUGAGCAACAUGCCCGUAUCAGGGGGAUAAUCCAGGGAAACUUGGUCUAAUACCCCAUAGUAAUUUUGUAAGGCAUCUUAUAAGAUUUAAAGCUUUGGUGGAUACGGAUUGGCUCGCGUGACAUUAGCUGGAUGGUAAGGUAACGGCUUACCAUGGCUAUGAUGUCUAGGGGUUCUGAGAGGAAGGUCCCCCACACUGGAACUGAGACACGGUCCAGACUCCUACGGGAGGCAGCAGUGAGGAAUAUUGGACAAUGGAUGGAAAUCUGAUCCAGCCAUGCCGCGUGAAGGAAAAGAAGGUCCUAUGGAUUGUAAACUUCUUUUGUAUGGGAGCAAUAAGGCCUACGAGUAGGUUGAUGAGAGUACCAUACGAAUAAGCACCGGCUAACUCCGUGCCAGCAGCCGC
rnacentral:rRNA from 1 species